rnacentral:tRNA from 1 species
UAGCCUAGUGGUUAAGGCUAUGGAUCGCCCAUCCAGAGACGGCGGGUUCGAUUCCCGU